UUGAGAUUUAGAAACAUGGGUGGUUUUGGUUUGUAAAGAAGACACGAUAAUAGCCCCUGAUCUCCCCCUCGGCCGAAUCGGUGCCAAGACUUGUUCUUUUCUUUGAAGUGCGACCAGCAGCGUGCAGUGCAACGCGAACAUCUCCAUUUUUCUCUCUGUACCGCCAGCGCAGAGGAAGGUGCACCCUUUUUCCCGGCUACAAAUAGCGUCGAGUGGUCGGUGUGCUGCUCUUGCUUACAUUUCUUGGCAUGCGUGCGUCGCCAAGAAUAAUGCUGCGUGUAAACGGAGCCGUUCGGUAUUUCGGUAUGUGGACAAGAGGAGUGUUCGUUCCUCCGGCUCUCUUUCUGCUUUCGUGGGCCGAACGUGAUCCGCAUCACUUCUUCAGAGCGACCUCUGCGCGCACAUCGAUAAAGAUCUCGCGGCCGAAAUUAAUUACACAGUCCCGAAGAGCAAACAAACCGCGUGAUUGGCCAAUUAUAAUUAAGAAGUAAAAAAAUUGAGGAAAACUGCCGGGUAAUUACAGAGAGAGGGAGACGAAAAGAGACGCAAAGGCCUUGAGAAAAACGGCAGGCGCAAUUAUUCAUUCAAUGGGCUUAAUAUUCAUCGCGCGGAUUUCCUAUUCAUUGAACUGAACAAUUGCAUCAGGCACCUACGGCAUUUUUGAUUAGCACACCCAGUGAGCUGCGCCGCCAAACAAUGAGCUGGCUUGUCGAGCGAAUCCUCCUGGCAGAAGCUUCAGAUGUGACUGAAAGGAAUAAAACGGUUUUAUUGCUCGCGAGAGCAGAACCGACGCCAGCAGUCCUGCAAUAAAUUGCACUCUUUCGAGUUGCUUGUUGAUGUCGGAGGACGGGAUGGGCCAGCAAGGUGUGCAGCAGCAGGUGACACGCGAGCACAACUGCCCUGGGCCUCAACAAGAGCGGCCGUUAAAAAAGGAAGACGAAUUUUUUCCUAGCAGGUGCUAGACCUUCGUGAGCGGCGAUUUCGAGACGGUUGGCUUUUGCCUCCUGAAUGAGAUGUGUUUGUUUUAUUACGUGAUGCCCAAACACAUCUGCCGCCCGUGCUGAUAUCACUCUCGAAAAACAGCUGGCGCGUUCCAGAAGUUUGCAAUUUGGCGCAAAUGAUAGUGAUUAGUCCGCUCAUUUUUGGAGCUGAAAGUGUAAGAAAAUCUCUCUUGGGUGUUUCGUUUUUGUGCAGUUUUUUUUUGCCUUUAGGAUGGGAAAAUAAAUGGCACAGUCGAUGGAGCAAAUUUUUAUGACCGGAUGACGGUCGUAAUUGUUUUUAUUUAUGUUGUUGGUCUGCUGCUGUGAAGGUAUUUAAAGCUUUCUUUGAAAUAAAAUACUAACAGCCAAGGCCACGACGUAAUUU